GACAAACGCUGGCGGCGUGCCUAACACAUGCAAGUCGAACGGGACUUACCAGAAGGUAACUGAAGGUGAGUUUAGUGGCGAACGGGUGAGUAACGCGUGAGCAACCUGCCUUCCGGAGGGGACAACAGAGGGAAACUUCUGCUAAUACCGCAUAACGCACAGAGGUGGCAUCACCGUUGUGCCAAAGAUUUAUCGCCGGAAGAUGGGCUCGCGUAUGAUUAGAUAGUUGGUGAGGUAACGGCUCACCAAGUCUGCGAUCAUUAGCCGGACUGAGAGGUUGAACGGCCACAUUGGGACUGAGACACGGCCCAGACUCCUACGGGAGGCAGCAGUGAGGAAUAUUGGGCAAUGGGCGAAAGCCUGACCCAGCAACGCCGCGUGAAGGAAGACGGUCUUCGGAUUGUAAACUUCUUUUGUCAGGGACGAUAAUGACGGUACCUGACGAAUAAGCCAUGGCUAACUACGUGCCAGCAGCCGCGGUU
rnacentral:rRNA from 1 species